GGCUGACUCUCGCGCCGGCAGCACUCGGCCCCACCGCGCUGCACCGGGGACUAAAGGCCCGACCCCGCGCAGCCCGACGGCUUCCGGGACAGGCGCCCUGGGCCACGUGAGCCCAGCGGAGACCCUACACGGCCCCGCGGGCCUAGGGCAGGUCGGGAGAGAGGCGGCCCCCGCGGUCCGCCCGCGGCCCCAGACCCAGCUCCCCGGGUCCGACCUCACAACCCCACGCUGUAGCUCCGCCCCCCUAGCGCCGCCAUUUUGUGGCGUCUUCGGAAGAGGAAGCCGGGAGUGCAAACCCCGGGGUCGCUGGGGGCCGGAAGGACUCCGCCGAAGGUGAGGGGCAAAAACGGCCCACACUGUCUAAGACGCCCCCACGAAGCCCACCGCGGCGUCUGCCCCAACCCCGAGUCCCGCCCGCCUCCUCGGGGCCUGGCGGCCAAUCCGCACGCAGAGCCCCGGGAGCGACGGCGCCAAAGCCCAAUGAGCGGCGCGCGCGCGCCCUGGCCGCCUCUCCGGAGGGCCCAGCUGGGGCAACCACGCUCGGGACGAAGGCCCGGCCGGCGGCAGUCUGCGCAGCGGCUGCGUCGCCCGCACAGAGCCUUCCCUCCCCGCUCCGCACCCAGCAGCCAACACAAACCUCCGUAGCCCUGGUCCAUGUCUUCGACGCGGCCCACCAGCAGCCCCGUUUACUAGGCGACCACAGCACGCAUGCGUUCAGCGCACCUCCGCCAUCGACUACUGGAAGACCAGGCGCACACGUCACUACUUCCGCGCGCCCCCAUUGGCUGGUCUUCACGAGGGCCCGCCCUCGCCGUCCCAGCUGGCCUUUCGGGCUGCUACGAUCCAGCUCCGUGGCCUAAUGGGAGUUGUGGUCCCACCGCGGUGCCCGACGGCCCGGCCCGCGCGCAUGCGCACCCCGCCCCUCUGCCCACCCCGCCCCGCCCGCGCGGCACAGUAACAGAGAAACCCGGAGGUGGGAUGGGAAAACUUUAUUAGGUUUGGUUUCCAGCUUCGGCCACGCGGGCUCCGCCCGCCCCGAGCUCGGGUCACGGGGCGCCCCCGCCGCCCUCCUCGUCGUCCUCCACGUCGAGGCCCGGGAUGCCGCGGAUCUGGCGUUGCAGCGCCCCUCCCAGCAAGGGCACGGCGCCCUCCUCCUCCUCCUCUGGGGGCGGCGGCGGUGGCGGCGACACGGCCCCGGGGGCUGGCUCUGGGGGCACGGGAGGCUGCGCCGGCACGCCCUCUGCGCCCUCCGAGAUCCCUGCCGCUUCGCCCUGCGCCCCCUCGUCCAGGGCACCGCCCUCAGCCUCCUCCUGCUCCUUCUCCUCCUCGGGGCUGUCGGUGAAAGGGUUCUCGCCCUGUGGGGAGGGGCGCGGACACUGAAGGGAGGGAGCACAGGCGGGGACUAAGCUGGGGACAGGGCAGGCCCGGACCAGUGCCUCACCUUCAGGUAGCGCUCCAGCUUCUUGCUGAUGAGCUUGUUGUUGAGAAUACUGCGGGCCACCAUGAGGGAGGACUUCUUGGACUGCUCCAUCAUGAGCUGCGGGCAGGGCAGAAGGAGCUGGAGAGGCUGCUCUGAGUGCCCUACAAGUUGCUGCCCCGACCCUGCCAGCUUAGAGGGACCCCACCCCGCCCCUGCACCCACGCACUUCCAGCCCCACCAACGGAGGGCCACUCCACAAGCAUGGAACCACAACCUAUCUGAUCUUUGUUCAAAUUCCCUCUCCUUCCACACCACACUUACUGUAGGUAAAUAAAAAUACAGAUCUAUAUA
ensembl:lncRNA novel transcript, antisense to AKAP8 and AKAP8L